rnacentral:rRNA from 1 species
GUGAAAUUCCGUCGGAAUCUGGGAGGACCAUCUCCUAAGGCUAAAUACUCUCUAGUGACCGAUAGUGAACCAGUACCGUGAGGGAAAGGUGAAAAGCACCCCGGAAGGGGAGUGAAAUAGAACCUGAAACCGUGUGCUUACAAGUAGUCAGAGCCCGUUAAUGGGUGAUGGCGUGCCUUUUGUAGAAUGAACCGGCGAGUUACGAUUUGAUGCAAGGUUAAGCAGUAAAUGUGGAGCCGUAGCGAAAGCGAGUCUGAAUAGGGCGUUUAGUAUUUGGUCGUAGACCCGAAACCAGGUGAUCUACCCUUGGUCAGGUUGAAGUUCAGGUAACACUGAAUGGAGGACCGAACCGACUUACGUUGAAAAGUGAGCGGAUGAACUGAGGGUAGCGGAGAAAUUCCAAU